rnacentral:rRNA from 1 species
AGAGUUUGAUCCCGGCUCAGAAUCAACGCUGGCGGCGCGCCUAACACAUGCAAGUCGAACGAGAAAGCCGGAGCAAUCUGGUGAGUACAGUGGCGUACGGGUGAGUAACACGUGGAUCAUCUACCUUUUAGUGAGGAAUAACCAUGGGAAACCGUGGCUAAUACCGCAUGAGCUCGAGAGAGGAAAGUCGAAAGACGCUGAAAGAGGAGUCCGCGGCCGAUUAGCUAGUUGGCAGGGUAAAAGCCUACCAAGGCGAAGAUCGGUAGCCGGCCUGAGAGGGCACACGGCCACACUGGCACUGAAACACGGGCCAGACUCCUACGGGAGGCAGCAGUGGGGAAUCUUGCACAAUGGGGGAAACCCUGAUGCAGCGACGCCGCGUGAGCGAUGAAGCCCUUCGGGGUGUAAAGCUCUUUCGGCAGGGAAGACCAUGACGGUACCUGCAGAAGCAGCUGCGGCUAACUACGUGCCAGCAGCCGCGGUAAUACGUAGGCAGCGAGCGUUGUUCGGAGUUACUGGGCGUAAAGGGUGUGUAGGCGGUUGUUUAAGUUUGGUGUGAAAUCUCCCGGCUCAACUGGGAGGGUGCGCCGAAUACUGAAUGACUUCGAGUACGGGAGAGGAAAGUGGAAUUCCUGGUGUAGCGGUGAAAUGCGUAGAUAUCAGGAGGAACACCGGUGGUGUAGACGGCUCUCUGGACCGUAACUGACGCUGAGACACGAAAGCGUGGGUAGCAAACAGGAUUAGAUACCCUGGUAGUCCACGCCCUAAACGAUGCAUAUUUGGUGUGGGCAGUUCAUUCUGUCUGUGCCGGAGCUAACGCGUUAAAUAUGCCGCCUGGGGAGUACAGUCGCAAGGCUGAAACUCAAAGGAAUUGACGGGGGCCCGCACAAGCGGUGGAGCAUGUGGUU